GGGGAGGGACAAACUUCCAUCCACCCCAGACAACCAGAAUGUGCAGGGCCCUGAAUGCCAGGAUGGGAAUUUAAUCUAAUUAAACUUCAGCAAGGGGCUGAGGGACAGCUUCAUGCCAGGCACCGGGAAAAACUCUUUACACACAGGAUUGCCUUUGCUUUCAUUCAAUCCCCACAACAUGUGUGGUAGGUGUUAUUAUUCCCAUUGUACAGAUGGAGAGACUGAGGCCAGCGGGAGGCCCAUGGAUGUGUAGGGGCUGCUAUGGGAAGGCAGCUUGGAGUGCCGGAGAUGGUGGGUACUGCCAGCAGGAGCUGUGUCCUCUACGCACGAUGUGACCUUGGUCAGAUUUCCUCCCUGUUCUGGGUCUCAUGCCCCUCCCUGGGUACAUGAAGACUGGUGACCUUCUCAGGGCUACAGCCACGAGGAAGUGAGUGGGCCAGCUGGAUGGCCCACUCUGGGAUUCUGCUUGCUGAAAGCCUGAUCCAAGGGCAGGACUAUCCCACCUCAGCCACCUGGGACUGGCUUCACUGUUCACAGUUGCAUCACCAAGGAACUCCAUGGAAAGAAAAUAAUUGAGUGGUUGCCAGGUCCUGGGAGGUGGGAGGGAGAAUGAGGAGUGACUAUGAAUGGGGCCUCUUUGGGGCGUGAUAAAAUGUCCUAAAGUUAGAUUAUGGUGACAGUUGUACAACUCUGUGAAUAUACUAAAAACAAUUGGAUUGUACACUUUAAACAGGUGAAUGUUGUGGUAUGAUAAUUAUAUCUCAAUAAAGCCGUUUAAGAGAGAAAGGAGGAAGGAGGGAAGGAGGACAGGAGAGAGAGAGACCUACUCAGAGGUCAAGCCAAGCGCGAUGGCUCACGCCUGUAAUCCCAGCAGUUUGGGAGGCAGAGCAGGGAGGAUCACUUGAGGUCAGGAGUUUGAGACCAGCCUGGGCAACAUGGCAAGACUCCAUUUCUACAAAAACAUUUAAAAAUUAGCUGGGCAUGGUGGUGCAUACCUAUGGUCCCAGCUACUUAGAAGACUGAGGUGUGGGGCCAAGAGGAGUGACUCACGCCUGUAAUCCCACCACUUUGGGGGGCUGAGACAGAUGGAUCAUUUAAGGUCAGGAGUUCAAGACCAGCCUGGCCAACAUGGUAAAACCCUGUCUCUACU
rnacentral:lncRNA from 1 species